CCAUAAUUACGGCUGGGGGGCUCUUAACUUUGAUUUAGGAAAGAAUGAAGUACAGUCUUUCUUGAUUUCUAGUAUCAAGUUUUGGA
rnacentral:tRNA from 1 species